GGGGGGGUCUCCCCCCCCAGCACGAGUGAGGGUUGAGCUGGCCUCUCCCACAGUGAUGCCGAACCUGUCCUGGGAUGAGGAGGAGGAGGCGGCAGAGGAGGAAGAGUCUGCAGAGGAGUCCCCCGAGAAGCCCCCCAAGGCCCAGGCUGCCAAGAAGGGCAGCGUCGCCAAGAAGAGGAGGCUGGAGAAGGACGAAGAGCUGUGAGUAUCACGGAGGGAGCUGGCAGAUGUUGGGCAGGAGCGUGGACCAGCCCUGCCAGGGAGCAGCGGGAUUUGCCGGGGUCUCCUGCCGGCUCGGCAGGAGGAACCGUGAUCCCAGCCCUCUCCUUCUCUCCCGAGCAGGAACAGCGUCUCCUCCGAGGAUCCCCUUCCCAGCAAGGGGCGAGGAGCAGGCAGGGGGAAGAAGCCAGCAGCAAAGAAGUAGUGUGAGCUACAGCAGGGCCUGGCCAG
rnacentral:lncRNA from 1 species